rnacentral:lncRNA from 10 species
GGGACACUCACGCCGUGUCUAAUUCCUCCCCGAGUUGGGGCCGCCGCGUCGUGAUGUGAAUCCCAAUAGCGGGGAAUCUCAGGCCUUUCCCAGGCUGCGCGGGGUUCGGAGUGCCGGGUCCUCCAGAGGUCAGAGGAGCAGCUUCUAACUCCUGGCCGAGGGGGCUCUGGCCACACAGGGCAGAAGCACCUGGGGGCUCCUGGGGACCUUGGGCCUCUUAUCCAGAUGUCCCUGGGCAGGAAAUCCUGCUGUCGUCCACACGCACUUGCGCCAAGCCAGAACAGCGGCUGCUUCCGGAGAACCUUCCCUCAACGCCGCUGGCCCCGCGGGCUUCCACCCUGACCCCAGCGCAGCCUGUCUCCCCGCAACAGUCUUCUCUGGGAGGCAGGCAGGGGCCGUGUCCUCGUCCAUCAUUGUCCCCAGAGAUCAGGCAUUGGGGUUGGAUAGACAGAGUUCAUGAGCGGGCAAGUGUCCGAUUGUCCUGCACUGACAGAAAUAAUGGUGCUGAUCAGAGGGGCUGUCCCUGAGGGGCAGAGGCCUCAUUGUCCUGAAGGGGUGAGGAAGGAGCCCCCUUGGCCUCUGUCCCUACCACCUCCUUGACCUACUAGUUGUCCCCCUGUUGACCCAGCCUGAAUAGAUGGGCCACCAUGUGGGGGACAAUGCUGCUGAGGCAGGGACUUCAGGGGAGGGAAGGGCUUGGUCGCAUUUGAGCAGGGGCGCUAAGGGUACCUGUCUUUCCUGCCCUCUGUGCUCCCUGACUGAAAUCAGUGGCGGGAUAAUCACCCACACCCAGACCACAAAGAAUGGCUCAGUCCUAUGAAGUGGAACAAGGUCUGGAGGGCCCAUGAUGAGACGAUCCCAGCACUCAAGUGAAAGAGAAUGACAGAGGUCAUUCCAGAUGGAUGACGACUGCAGUACGGGUUGGGAGGAAACUCACCCAUCUCCGUAAGCUUCAUGGGUGGCAAGUCCAGCCACAAGGACCCCCAGGAGGGCCCCCAGGACCCCCGGCAUCCCAUGGAGGCUCCAAGAGGCAUCUAUACCGUGAAGAACUUGUACCCCAGCGUGGAGACAGUCCCAGCCAAGAAGCCAGCUGCCAGAGCCCCAAAGGGUGUCAGCAUCAUUUCACUUGAGGUCCCCACCACAACCCCUCCAGCCAGCGCUGCAUUUUGGAUGUGGACCUAAGGGAAGAGCAAGGUGUUGGAGGCCCUUUCAGAUUGUCACACCCACAGCAACCCAACCCUACACACCACAGUGACACCUACUGCUUCUGGAAGUCCCUCUGCCAUCUAACCUCUCAUUGUCCUGCUACCAUAUCGCCUCCCAUUCUGAUCCCAUAGCCACCAGCACAGAUGGAGCCCCUAUGCCUGUGCCCUUAUCUGUUCCCCGGGAGAAUCUUUCUUGAGGGUCUCAGACCUCUCCUCCCCUGCCCAGGCCACCCCCUCUGCCUCUCUGAAGUCCUCUUCCCCAUACCAUGUCAAGCCUCCCAUCUUCCCCUACAAGGGCUGACAAGGCAAAGGUGCCAAGGGUGCUGGCAGCCAGGGAGUAGUAUGUGUUGAGGGCCGUCCGAUGCUGCCCAGCCCCCAGCGCUGUGAGUGCAGCAUUGAAGCUAGGCCAGAAGAUCCACAGGAAGAUGGUCCCUAGAUGGUGGACAGACAGGCAGAGUGAGAAGAAGGAAGUGACUCCCACGCAAGGUACAAGUUGUAUAACUGCAGGCAAAUCACCUACCCUCAGCAGCCUCAGUUUCCUCAUAUGUUCAGUGGGAUUGAUAAUAAUACCACCUUGGGCUGGGCACGGUGGCUCACGCCUGUAAUCCCAGCACUUUGGGAGGCCGAGGCAGGCAGAUCACUUGAGCUCAGGAGUUUGAGACCAGCCUGGACAACAUAGUGAAAUCCCAUCUCUACCAAAAAUACAAAGGAAUUAGCUGGGCAUGGUAGCACAUGCCUGUAGUUCCAGCUACUUGGGGGGCUGAGGCAGGAGGAUCGCUUGAGACUGGGAGGCAGAGGUUGCAGUGAGCUGAGAUCGUGCCACUAUACUCCAGCCUGGGCUGCAGAGCCAGACCCUAUCUCAAUAAUAAUAAUAAUAAUACCACCUCAUCAAGUGGUAAUUAAAUGAGGCAAUGCACAUAAAUGCAUAGCCCAUGGCCUAGCAGGCACAAAAUGCCCAGCAAAUGGCAGCUAUUGAAGGGCACUGGCCCAAAAAGAAACUACUUUGUUGAAAACCAC